CAGAAAAAUCUUUGUCCUGUUUCUACCAGACAAUGACAAAUAAAUAUGAGAAAAAGACAUGCACUCUACAGAUCAGGAAGUCCCACACUGAACACUGAUGACAGACAACACAGGACGGUUUUAAGCAGACUCCCGGAGCGUCAUACAUUGCAUUGACCUCUACAAAGGGCACCUUUUCCUGCUGUGCAGCUAUGUUAACACUGGUCUCGUGGUAUGACUGAAGCCCUUCCCUCAUGCCCCUUCCAUCUGACUGGUGCAGGAAGAUGCACCUGAGAUCUGGAUCAAGUCUGUUACAGGGCACAGCUACUACUCUCUGAAUGAGUUCACUCUCAGGUAAAUGGACAGACAGAAGACAAACAUGAAAGGAGAAUCA